GUGGAUGAGGCAUGCAAGUCGAACGAGAUCGUAGCAAUGCGAUCAAGUGGCGGAAGGGUUAGUAAUACAUGGAUAAUCUGCCUCUUACCUGGGGAUAACGGCUGGAAACGGCCGCUAAUACCGAAUGAGGUUGUUUAGGGCAUCCUAGGCAAAUCAAAGUUGGGGACCAUGAAAGUGGCCUUGCGGUAAGAGAAGAGUCCAUGGGAUAUCAGCUAGUUGGUGAGGUAAUGGCUCACCAAGGCUAAGACGUCUAGGCGGAUUGAGAGAUUG
rnacentral:rRNA from 1 species